UCAUCGUUAGUAUGGUGGUGAGUAUCCCCGCCUGUCACGCCGGAGACCGGGGUUCGAUUCCCCGACGGGGAG
rfam:Ciona savignyi cont_53819, whole genome shotgun sequence.